UGGAGAUUUUCACCACACCAAUACAUAUGCAAUCGACUUCGCGGUGAUUAUAAUUUCCAUACUAAUUUGAGCCGCCUUCGGACCAGUUUCUGAUCCGAAGUCGGACUCAGCUCCGCCUCAGGCGGAGCGGAUUCGGACCGAGGUCGGACCUGUUUGCUUGAAGGGAGAAAAUAUACCUGUUUUUGUUCUAUUUGUCUUGAUUGAAAUAAAAACCGUUUUGUUUAAAAGAUUUCAAAAGAAUCUAAAUAUAAAACACUUUAUUUAACUUUUCUUAAGAAAACAAAAAUUAUGUGGAAAGUUCGAGAGCAUAAAAAGAAAAUAGUUCGUUGGCGUUACAAAAAGGAAUGAAUUUUGAAUUUGAGUUGUAUCUUUUCGUUGAUGUGCGGCGCCAGCAUAGAUACAGAGUCGCCACAAUCACUCCCCCCUGAGUGGCUUUGGAGCUGGAAGUUGAAAAGACACGGUCCGUCUUUGUUGGUACGUUUGUUGUGGCGGAUCCAUGCUGGAAUCCCAAUGAUGCGAUGGAAUUUGUUGUAAAGUUGAUUCUUGUGAUGUGUUAUCUGCUUGAUCUUCGUCAGAUUUAUUUGUGUAACACAGUUUUAACCUUUCGAUUGAAACACUUUUUUCUUGAUUAUUGAUAUUUAAUUUGUAGAUGCGGUCUGAUGUUCAUUCGAUGAUUCUGUAAGGACCUUGAUACGGAGGUUUUAAUGGUGCUUUAAGAUGGUCGCAGCGCAACCAAACGUGGGUGCAGGUGUUGAGAUCUUUAAAAACAAAGAUUCUUGCUUUGUUGUGAUGAGCAGUAGGUGUUGGCCGAAUUCCACGCAUGAAUUUACGAUGUUUUUCAAUGAAGAAUGCUGGAUCUGAUGGAAAAUCUGAUGAAACGAAAAACUCUCCGGGUAUUCUGAGGCAUGUCCCAUAAAGCAUUUCUGCCGGAGUGGCUUGAAUAUCCUCCUUAAAUGAAGUUCUAAGUCCAAGCAAAACUGUUGGCAAUACUUCAGUCCAAGGUUUUGGAGAACACAUGAGUGCUGCUUUCAAUGCUCUGUGCAUUCUUUCGACUAUACCGUUGGACUGAGGAUGGUAGGGUGUAGUUCUUGUUUUCUUUGUUCGUACAAGGUUGGUGAGAGCAUUAAAGAGCUGAUUCGAACUGAGAGCCUUGAUCUGAUGUUAUUGUAACAGGUGAUCCGUAAUGUGCAAUCCAGUGAUUGAAUAAGGUUGUUGCGACUGUGUCUGCGGUCAUGUCUUUUAUCGGAACAGCUACUGGCCAUCUUGAAAAACGAUCUAUCAUAGUUAGGCAGUAUUGAUAACCUUGAACCAUGGGUAAAAAGAUGAUGUCAAUGUGUAGAUGGUUAAAUCUCGAGUCUGGGACUGUGAUGUGAUCGGGUUGGAGUUUGUUAUGACGGUGCACUUUGGCUCUUUGACAUGCUAUGCAAUCUCGGGACCAUUGUAAUACGUCUUUUCGAAUUCCGGGCCAAGUAAAUUUUUGUCGCAGAAGUCGUGAAGUUGUUCUGCCACUAGGGUGUGAGGUGUUAUGAAUGGUUUCGAAUGCUGUUCUUCGUAGUGACUUUGGAAUAUAUGGUCUGACAAUUCCUAAUGAUAUAUCAGAAUAUAUGUGGAUACCUGGUUCAGCUUGUAGUUUUUGUAGAUGCAGUGAUGUUGGAUUUUUAAGUAGCUCUUGUAGGUGGACAUCUUUUUGUUGUUCGUCACGUAUGUUCUCUUAAAAUGGUUGGCAUGGCUAUGGUGCUUACUCGAGAGAGCGCGUCUGCAACAAUGUUAUCAUCACCUUUUAGAUAGACUAUCAGGGCUAUUCUGGAGUUGUGAUGCUCACAAGUCACAAUUUUUUGUGAGGUUAUUUUUGUGAGGUUUGUUAUGAGGUUGUCACAAUUUGGUAUUCUGCGGAAAACCUCAUAAGAAACCUCACAACGAAUUCACCACUAUAGAGGUGAGUUUCUUUUUUGACAGCCAGCUGAUUUGUCAAACAAAUUAAAAAUUUUAAUUGAAAAAAGUUUUUUUAUCUUGUCUAUUGUUAAUUUUUAAAAAAAUCGUCAGAGAAGUGAAUAUUGACUUCUUAAAAAUCAUCCUAGCAACACAUACGUCCAAUUCCAAAGAAGAAAAAAUGCUAAGAUACUCUCAAAUCUCAAUCUUUAUCAUGUAAGAUGUAAGUGGUAGCAAAGUGGAAAGAUUUGUGUGAAGUGAAAACCCACAUACGGAAUGAAACAAGCCAAGACAAUCAAGAACUACGUUCAUAUCGAUCUUCAAGUAAUGAAAAGCCCGAUGACAUCGUCAAGGAAGGAGGACCCAGGACGUGAGGAGAAAGGCCAAGAGUGUAAAAAAACAGUUAAUAGGUUUCACAAACGGUGGAGUUAUGGAUGCAGAUUCAAGGAAUGAAAACAACGUUUUUAUUUCUUCUCGGUUUAUUCGAGUGACUUCGAUGAAAACCGACCGAAUUUGAAAAAUUUAAUGACAAUGGGAGUCAUCGAUGAUCGUCGAUUGCCAUCAACUUGUUUGUGUCCAGGAAGCAACGAAAUCCUCGGUUUCAAUUCUAGCCAGCGAAAGAGCUUCUUGAACUCAGUUAAACUCACAAUGAUUAGUGAGAGAAGUGGGUGGAAGUGUCAAACAAAUGCUACAACAUAAAAAGACCGAAGAGGGCUUAGAGGUUUUCGACUGGGAAAUCAUGUUUAUCAUUGUCGACGGUUUCUUCACAGAACAGCACACACUCUGAAUAAAAGGAGAAAAGGCUGCCGUGCCUGGCAAGCGGCUGAUUUGUCUGUAGAAGUGCAAUACUUUCUCAUGUUUACAAUGCCAGGAGGCAUCGUUAGAAGGCAUCAUUGAAAGAUCAAAAUUAAUUUGUGAAUAAAUUAUUAUUACAUAUUAUUAACUAAUCUUAAAAAACCAUAACAGUUUAAACAUAAAACCACAAAUACAAUUGUAAAAUAAAACAUCAACCAAUUAAAUUUAUUAUAAACUAAAUGGCAAAUACACAAAAAAUAUUAAAGAUCCAUAAGAAUGAUUUAUUAAAAAGUUUUAGUCAAAUUUAAUCACUAAAUUAAAUUAAACAACUAAGUGGCGUCUAUGAAGUAACCUGCACCAACUGCAACCAAAAAUAUAUAGGUCAAACAAGAAGAGCAUUACAAACUAGGUUCAAUGAACAUCUUCGUGCAGUAAAAUGUAAGAAACUUGAGAAUGCAAUCGCCUCCCACGCAUAUGAUGUUAACCACG